rnacentral:misc_RNA from 1 species
AAAGUCGUAACAAGGUUUCCGUAGGUGAACCUGCGGAAGGAUCAUUACAAAUCCAACCCGGCGCGGUUCCAGCUUGUCCUCGCGACAAGUUGGAACCUGCUGCCGCUACACCACGUUGAAGUGUUCCAGUCAGUGCCGCCAGGGCGCGGGUGCCGCUGCCGUGACCGACAAGUCACAGCGCGGCGACUCGCUGCCCAGGCGCGCCUGACUGCUCUGUUUCACAAGUUACCCAUGUUGCUACACUCAGUACUGUUGUCCUUCCGGGCAGCACGAAACAACCAACACACACACAACCUAGAACAACUUAUAACAAUGGAUCUCUAGGCUCUU